CCCGCUCCUUGGCUAAGUUCAGGAUCACUCCCAGCCCGAUCCGAGCGAUGCGGUCCCUGCAGGAAGGAGAGGCACAGGCAGGUGAGGGGAGGUGGCCAAGCAUGGAAUGAGAACAGUGACUGGUGUGCAAACUCCCCCGUGUUUCAGUGGCAUUUGUCCCAUGACAGCCAGAGGUUUCCCUUUGGGACGUGGCUGCCAGAUGUGCUGUCAGGCUGUGGUGCAGCGAGAUGUGACAGGCUGGUGUUGGAAGAGCUCGUGAUGGGACAGGACAGGGAGUGCAUAGGCCAGGACCACCACACCAGAGGCUCUCGUGCUCGAGUGCGUGCAGCGAGGCCCAGCCUUCGUGUCCGUGACCUUAGGGCAAGACACAUCACCCAUGAAGCUGGAGCAAAACCUUGGCCAGACUUCCUCGACACCCGCCCAAAGCCCUGUCUGGGGUUGGGCACAGCGAGGGACAGCAGAGCUGGCAGAGCCACGUGUUUGCCAGGAAGGAAAGGUUGAUCCUGACCCAGCUCGUGGCAGGAUCUGCUCCAGGAGUUUUCCUGCCUGACACUUGGUCUCCAGCUCCGCUGUGUACAGCAGGUUCAGCAGUAGGUCCAGGCCCCCCUCCAGGCGGAUCACGUCGCACAGCACUUUGGCCACGUCCCUCCCCACCG